rnacentral:lncRNA from 1 species
AAGAAGGAAACGAGAGGAAGAGAAACCAACAUGGAACUUAGUCUGACGGAUGCGCUCUCAACGGAACCAGGUAGACAAACCCUCUUUUCAAUGUCCUUCCUCUGUUUUCGCUUCUUGAUGAUGGUGCAGUACUUUUCUUUUUAUGAUUUACUGGAUCUUCGAAUAUUAUGUUUGAUGUUCUUACAAAAAUUGUUUUCGAUUCUCUCUGGAAGUUGUAAGAAGAAAUCUUUGUUUAGUUUAUAGGGCUUUUGAAGAAAUAUCCGGCUGUUGUUCUGGGUUUAAAAAAAAAUUGCUCUGUUAUCUCCUCCCUUCCUUUGCUGUUAAUCUCUAAUGAUCUUUUUAUGAUGAAUUUCUUAACUCUUAAAAAAAACUCCCUGCUGUUACGCUUUUUCUCCAGAUUAUAUGGGAUUCCACUUUUGUUGAUUUGUUACCUUUUUAAGCCAUUGUUGAAAUGCAUUUUUGGAUGUUCAAUUUAACCUUCUGGAUAAAGUUUUAAACUGAGUAAUUUAUUUAGUUAUUUUUCAGUUCCUUAAGCGCUUCUGAAAAGUGCUUUUUAAUUAAGCUGUUUUUCUCUGCAGGUUACAACUUGAAGUGACCUUGAUGGAAUGGAAUGUGGGCUGCGUGAAGAUGAACGUGUAAUACUUGUAGUUUAAUUGGACUUUGGUGCAUUUGGAAGUUGUACAACUUGUUUCAUUUGAAGUCUAAUAGCCAUUAACAACUAUGUAUUCAACAUGAUUUUAAUAUUAUUUCAAACAAUUUCUCCAUAUUAAUUUCAUGUUAUCUAUGUAUGUAUGUAGAACUUCAGGUACGAAAGUAAAAUGGACCUUGGAAAUGGAUUAGUUAAUUCAAAUAUUU